UAGGAAGUGGAGCUGGUUUGAAUUGCUGUGCAAGCAGUGCAUCCCACUGCAGGUCAAUAAGCUCAAGUUGCAGGUCACACGGAAUGCUGUCAACAGUAAAUGUGUAAGGUUUUGAUCAGAAAUAGUAAUCUGCUGCAAUGUAGGAAAAUGGCUGAAAUCUUUGUUUUCUGUCUGAUGAGAGAAAAGGAGUACUUUCAUCAUAAAUGACUUGACACUGGAAUACAGUUCAUAAGCAAAAAGCCCUUUCCCUUGCAGUCAUGAAUUCAGAUCGUUCAUGUAGCCCAUGAUAUCAACGGCAAAUGCAAAAUCAGAGAGCCAAUUUGCAUCAUUCAGCUGUGGGAAAUCCAAAUCUUUUCCUUUCAUGUUCA